AGCGAACGCUGGCGGCGUGCCUAACACAUGCAAGUCGAGCGAGAAAGGGGUGGCAACACCCUGAGUAAAGCGGCGAACGGGUGAGUAACGCGUGGGCAAUCUACCUUCCAGUCUGGGAUAACCUUCCGAAAGGAGGGCUAAUACCGGAUGAUGUCCUGUUGGGGCAUCCCUGAGGGGAGCAAAAGGGGGCGACCCGCAAGGGGCUCUCGCUGGAGGAGGAGCCUGCGUCCGAUUAGCUAGUUGGUGGGGUAACGGCUCACCAAGGCGACGAUCGGUAGCCGGCCUGAGAGGGUGACCGGCCACACUGGGACUGAGGACACGGCCCAGACUCCUACGGGAGGCAGCAGU
rnacentral:rRNA from 1 species